rnacentral:rRNA from 1 species
AUUGAACGCUGGCGGCAGGCUUAACACAUGCAAGUCGAGCGGAGCGAGGGUGCUUGCACCUUAGCUUAGCGGCGGACGGGUGAGUAAUGCUUAGGAAUCUGCCUAUUAGUGGGGGACAACAUUCCGAAAGGAAUGCUAAUACCGCAUACGCCCUACGGGGGAAGGCAGGGGAUGUUCGGACCUUGCGCUAUUAGAUGAGCCUAAGUCGAAUUAGCUAGUUGGUGGGGUAAAGGACUACCAAGGCGACGAUCUGUAGCGGGUCUGAGAGGAUGAUCCGCCACACUGGGACUGAGACACGGCCCAGACUCCUACGGGAGGCAGCAGUGGGGAAUAUUGGACAAUGGGCGGAAGCCUGAUCCAGCCAUGCCGCGUGUGUGAAGAAGGCCUUUUGGUUGUAAAGCACUUUAAGCGAGGAGGAGGCUACUUAGAUUAAUACUCUGGGAUAGUGGACGUUACUCGCAGAAUAAGCACCGGCUAACUCUGUGCCAGCCGCCGCGGUAA